rnacentral:rRNA from 1 species
UGAGUAACACGUAUGCAACCUACCUGUAAUUGGGGAAUAACCCGGCGAAAGUCGGACUAACACCGCAUAAUAAUGAAGAUUCGCAUGAAUUUUCAUUUAAAUAUUUAUAGAUUACAGAUGGGCAUGCGCAUGAUUAGAUAGUUGGUGAGGUAACGGCUCACCAAGUCAACGAUCAUUAGGGGUUCUGAGAGGAAGGUCCCCCACAUUGGAACUGAGACACGGUCCAAACUCCUACGGGAGGCAGCAGUGAGGAAUAUUGGUCAAUGGACGCAGGUCUGAACCAGCCAAGUCGCGUGAAGGAUGACUGCCCUAUGGGUUGUAAACUUCUUUUAUAAGGGAAUAAAGUUCGCCACGUGUGGUGAUUUGUAUGUACUUUAUGAAUAAGGAUCGGCUAACUCCGUGCCAGCAGCCGCGGUAAUACGGAGGAUCCGAGCGUUAUCCGGAUUUAUUGGGUUUAAAGGGUGCGUAGGCGGACUAAUAAGUCAGUGGUGAA